UUUUCGGACAACGGAUAUAGAGGACAGUGGCGGACGGGUGAGUAACGCGUGAGGGAACCUGCCUUUCAGAGGGGGACAACAGUUGGAAACGACUGCUAAUACCGCAUGAUGCAUAGGGGUCGCAUGAUUCUUAUGCCAAAGAUUUAUCGCUUCAAGAUGGCCUCGCGUCUGAUUAGCUGGUUGGCGGGUAACGGCCCACCAAGGCGACGAUCAGUAGCCGGCCUGAGAGGGUGAACGGCCACAUUGGGACUGAGACACGGCCCAAACUCC
rnacentral:rRNA from 1 species